rnacentral:rRNA from 1 species
GGUUAAGUUAGAAAGGGCGCACGGUGGAUGCCUUGGCACUAGGAGCCGAUGAAGGACGGGACGAACACCGAUAUGCUUCGGGGAGCUGUAAGCAAGCUUUGAUCCGGAGAUUUCCGAAUGGGGAAACCCACCACUCGUAAUGGAGUGGUAUCCAUAUCUGAAUACAUAGGAUAUGAGAAGGCAGACCCGGGGAACUGAAACAUCUAAGUACCCGGAGGAAGAGAAAGCAAAUGCGAUUCCCUGAGUAGCGGCGAGCGAAACGGGACCAGCCCAAACCAAGAGGCUUGCCUCUUGGGGUUGUAGGACACUCUGUACGGAGUUACAAAGGAACGAGGUAGAUGAAGAGGUCUGGAAAGGCCUGUUAUAGGAGGUAACAGCCCUGUAGUCAAAACUUCGUUCUCUCCUGAGUGGAUCCUGAGUACGGCGGAACACGUGAAAUUCCGUCGGAAUCCGGGAGGACCAUCUCCCAAGGCUAAAUACUCCCUAGUGACCGAUAGUGAACCAGUACCGUGAGGGAAAGGUGAAAAGCACCCCGGAAGGGGAGUGAAAGAGAUCUUGAACCGGUGGCCCUACAAGCGGUAUGCGCCGGGUGGUUGGUGAUGGCGUGCCUUUUGUAGAAUGAACCGGCGAGUUACGAUCCCGUGCAAGGUUAAGCAGAAGAUGCGGAGCCGCAGCGAAAGCGAGUCUGAAUAGGGCGAAUUGAGUACGUGGUCGUAGACCCGAAACCAGGUGAUCUACCCAUGUCCAGGGUGAAGUUCAGGUAACACUGAAUGGAGGCCCGAACCCACGCACGUUGAAAAGUGCGGGGAUGAGGUGUGGGUAGGGGUGAAAUGCCAAUCGAACCUGGAGAUAGCUGGUUCUCUCCGAAAUAGCUUUAGGGCUAGCCUCAAGGUAAGAGUCUCGGAGGUAGAGCACUGAUUGGACUAGGGGCCCCUACCGGGUUACCGAAUUCAGUCAAACUCCGAAUGCCGAUGACUUAUCCUUGGGAGUCAGACUGCGAGUGAUAAGAUCCGUAGUCGAAAGGGAAACAGCCCAGACCGCCAGCUAAGGUCCCAAAGUAUACGUUAAGUGGAAAAGGAUGUGGAGUUGCUUAGACAACCAGGAUGUUGGCUUAGAAGCAGCCACCAUUUAAAGAGUGCGUAAUAGCUCACUGGUCGAGUGACUCUGCGCCGAAAAUGUACCGGGGCUAAACGUAUCACCGAAGCUGCGGACUGUUCUUCGAACAGUGGUAGGAGAGCGUUCUAAGGGCUGUGAAGCAAGACCGGAAGGACUUGUGGAGCGCUUAGAAGUGAGAAUGCCGGUAUGAGUAGCGAAAGAGGGGUGAGAAUCCCCUCCACCGAAUGCCUAAGGUUUCCUGAGGAAGGCUCGUCCGCUCAGGGUUAGUCGGGACCUAAGCCGAGGCCGAAAGGCGUAGGCGAUGGAUAACAGGUUGAUAUUCCUGUACCACCUCCUCACCAUUUGAGCAAUGGGGGGACGCAGGAGGAUAGGGUAAGCGCGGUAUUGGAUAUCCGCGUCCAAGCAGUUAGGCUGGGAAAUAGGCAAAUCCGUUUCCCGUGAAGGCUGAGCUGUGAUGGCGAGCGAAUUAUAGUAGCGAAGUUCCUGAUUCCACACUGCCAAGAAAAGCCUCUAGCGAGGUGAGAGGUGCCCGUACCGCAAACCGACACAGGUAGGCGAGGAGAGAAUCCUAAGGUGAUCGAGAGAACUCUCGUUAAGGAACUCGGCAAAAUGACCCCGUAACUUCGGGAGAAGGGGUGCUCUGUUAGGGUGCAAGCCCGAGAGAGCCGCAGUGAAUAGGCCCAGGCGACUGUUUAGCAAAAACACAGGUCUCUGCGAAGCCGUAAGGCGAAGUAUAGGGGCUGACGCCUGCCCGGUGCUGGAAGGUUAAGAGGAGCGCUUAGCGUAAGCGAAGGUGCGAAUUGAAGCCCCAGUAAACGGCGGCCGUAACUAUAACGGUCCUAAGGUAGCGAAAUUCCUUGUCGGGUAAGUUCCGACCCGCACGAAAGGCGCAACGAUCUGGGCACUGUCUCAACGAGAGACUCGGUGAAAUUAUAGUACCUGUGAAGAUGCAGGUUACCCGCGACAGGACGGAAAGACCCCGUGGAGCUUUACUGCAGCCUGAUAUUGAAUGUUGGUACAGCUUGUACAGGAUAGGUAGGAGCCUUGGAAACCGGAGCGCCAGCUUCGGUGGAGGCAUCGGUGGGAUACUACCCUGGCUGUAUUGACCUUCUAACCCGCCGCCCUUAUCGGGCGGGGAGACAGUGUCAGGUGGGCAGUUUGACUGGGGCGGUCGCCUCCUAAAAGGUAACGGAGGCGCCCAAAGGUUCCCUCAGAAUGGUUGGAAAUCAUUCGCAGAGUGUAAAGGCACAAGGGAGCUUGACUGCGAGACCUACAAGUCGAGCAGGGACGAAAGUCGGGCUUAGUGAUCCGGUGGUUCCGCAUGGAAGGGCCAUCGCUCAACGGAUAAAAGCUACCCCGGGGAUAACAGGCUUAUCUCCCCCAAGAGUCCACAUCGACGGGGAGGUUUGGCACCUCGAUGUCGGCUCAUCGCAUCCUGGGGCUGUAGUCGGUCCCAAGGGUUGGGCUGUUCGCCCAUUAAAGCGGUACGCGAGCUGGGUUCAGAACGUCGUGAGACAGUUCGGUCCCUAUCCGUCGCGGGCGCAGGAAAUUUGAGAGGAGCUGUCCUUAGUACGAGAGGACCGGGAUGGACGCACCGCUGGUGUACCAGUUGUUCUGCCAAGGGCAUCGCUGGGUAGCUAUGUGCGGACGGGAUAAGUGCUGAAAGCAUCUAAGCAUGAAGCCCCCCUCAAGAUGAGAUUUCCCAUUCCGCAAGGAAGUAAGAUCCCUGAAAGAUGAUCAGGUUGAUAGGUCUGAGGUGGAAGUGUGGCGACACAUGGAGCUGACAGAUACUAAUCGAUCGAGGACUUAACCAA